UACAGGAGGGGGCAAGCGUUGUUCGGAAUUACUGGGCGUAAAGGGCGCGUAGGCGGCCUUCUAAGUCGAACGUGAAAUCCCUGGGCUCAACCCAGGAACUGCGUCCGAUACUGAAAGGCUUGAAUCCGGGAGAGGGAUGCGGAAUUCCAGGUGUAGCGGUGAAAUGCGUAGAUAUCUGGAGGAACACCGGUGGCGAAGGCGGCAUCCUGGACCGGUAUUGACGCUGAGGCGCGAAAGCCAGGGGAGCAAACGGGG
rnacentral:rRNA from 1 species